rnacentral:rRNA from 1 species
AUGUGCAAUCAAGAUUGGUUGAUUAAUAUAGCAAUUUCCCUUUUAAUUCAUGUAAUCUCUAUAUUCCUCUUUACUAUAGCGUUUGGGUCCAUCAUCUUUCUUUUCAUUUAUUUUUGGGGAUGUCUCUAUGCACCUAUAUAUCUUGAUUUUGCAGUAGGCCGCAUGCCGUCAGGAAUCCACCAAUUCCUUCUUCUGCUACUGCACGAAGUAUUUGUGCAGCUUGUGUGCACCUCAACCUACACUUAUAUCAGGAGAAAAGGAUGCCAGACACAGGUGACUACGUCACGAGGAUGCCGGAACAUGUCAACGAGAAAAAUAACAAAAACGGUAAUGGGAGCAAUGGUCUAG